rnacentral:rRNA from 1 species
UACGUAGGGGGCUAGCGUUGUCCGGAAUCAUUGGGCGUAAAGCGCGUGUAGGCGGUCCGGUAAGUCCGCUGUGAAAGUCGGGGGCUCAACCCUCGGAUGCCGGUGGAUACUGUCGGGCUUGAGUACGGAAGAGGCGAGUGGAAUUCCUGGUGUAGCGGUGAAAUGCGCAGAUAUCAGGAGGAACACCAAUUGCGAAGGCAGCUCGCUGGGACGUUACUGACGCUGAGACGCGAAAGCGUGGGGAGUGAACAGG